rnacentral:rRNA from 1 species
AUUGAACGCUGGCGGCAGGCUUAACACAUGCAAGUCGAGCGGGGUGAUGGUGCUUGCACUAUCACUUAGCGGCGGACGGGUGAGUAAUGCUUAGGAAUCUGCCUAUUAGUGGGGGACAACAUCUCGAAAGGGAUGCUAAUACCGCUUACGUCCUACGGGAGAAAGCAGGGGAUCACUUGUGACCUUGUGCUAAUAGAUGAGACUAAGUCGGAUUAGCUAGUUGGUGGGGUAAAGGCCUACCAAGGCGACGAUCUGUAGCGGGUCGGAGAGGAUGAUCCGCACGACUGAGACUGAGAGACGGCCCAGACUCCUGCGGGAGGAAGCAGAGGCGAAUAUUGGACAAUGGGGGGAACCGUUAACCAGCCAUGCAGCGUGUGUCAAGAAGUCCUUAUGGUUGUAAAGCACUUUAAGCGAGGAGGAGUCACUUUUGGUUAAUACCCAAGAUGAGUGGACAUUACUCGCAGAAUAAGCACCGGCUAACUCUGUGCCAGCAGCCGCCGUAACAC